AGUGUAAAGUGAGUUCUAGAUAAGAAUAGCAAAAUAUUUUACAAAUAUAUGUGUAACAAAGUGAAGUAUAUGAAAGAAUUAAACGGAUAUUAAAGAAUGGUAUUUUAAUGUAAUUUUAAUAAUAUGAUAAGAAUUACACCUAAAAAUACAUGUUAACUUAAAGUGUUUGAAUAAAAUCAUGAACUUACAAGAAUAAAUUUGAAGAGAAAAGACUAAUAAUUAAAGUUUAAAGGUUAAGAUGGACGACUACAACAAGAAGAAACAUAUACUAAACGAUUGAGAAAAAGGGGGAAGAGUAUUUAUUAGCACAUGGGCAGGUAUUUAACAAGUAAUUCAACCAAAGAGUGUUAAAAGAAUUAUCUCAAUGUAUGAUGAGCAAAGUGAAAUAAUUAUUUUUAUUUUUAAAGAAUAAAUGUGGUAUAGGAAGAAUGUACCAAAAUGUUUGACAUAAAAAAAACUAUUAUAUCAAUAUGAAGAAGCAUUCGCGCUAAAAAGAUAGAGUCAUCAUUUCAUAAGGAACCAAGAUCACCUUUAGAGUCACGGUGUUGAAACACAAAUUGUGUGAACCAAGCCCAAAUGACUACAAGGCCCAAGUCUUUCAAAAAGGCAUAAUAAUUCAAUUAAAACUUCUUUACAAAUUAUGUCUACUCGAAAUGUAUUAAUUAAAGAGUAAUUUACAUAUAGAGAGAUUCGAAAGGCAUACUAGUAUAACUUUAAGAAAAUACGAUAAAAUGAUUUAUUUUUAUUUUUUCAUGAAAAGAGGAUGACAUGUUUUUAUUUCAAGUAUACACCUAACCUAAUUGACGACUAAGUUUAAAAAUAUAUUUGACAUCCUAAGUGUUCAUACAAAUUAUGCCAAUUACCCAAUUUAUAACGUUACAAGUUAGUCAGAUUAUUAACUAAAUACAAUUCACCCUAAGUGUUUGCAAAUAGGUAAACAUCAAAGAAAACAAGAAAGCACGGCAUCUAUCUACCACUUUACUAUACUUUACGUUUUGAGUACAUCCGAGAAUAAGAAGUACGAAGCGGGGAAUUUGGUGGGGUUCGUCUUCGUCUCCGAGCGUCGUCUUUCCAAAGCGUUUUCUUUUAAAGUACCUCGCAAGAUAAGAGAAAUGAAAUUAUUAGCGAAAUAAUAUAAUGUAAAAGAUAAACUAAUAAACUGACAUGUUUUUCAAAUGGUUUUUGUUUUAAAAUGUUUUUGGAAAGUUUCUCUUGAAAAUGAUUUUGUUUUUGAAAGAUAUUUUUGGAAAAAUGUUUUUGGCACAUUAUUUUUGGAAAAUAGUUUUGGAAAAUAAUUUAUAAUUAAUAUAGGAGGCUCAGAUAUGUGUUUUUGAUUUUCGACUAGACAUGAGAACGGGAACCGCCUCACUUGCAACUCCAGUGGCCAACCAUGUCGCCCUCCAUAGGUUGUUGGUUCGUGUUCUUGUCUUUUUUUUUUCGAUGUUUAUCAUCAUCGCAUCGUUAUUCGGGCCCGAUCCGGAAGGUAAUUCGGGGCGUUGUGGCUUCCAAAAUUUAUUCUCAUCGGCCCAGUUCAAAUGUAUCAUCUGCUAAAAUCAGUUUUAAUCAAAAGCCAAAGAAGAUGCCAAAAUCAGUCCCAAUCUCGUUCAACCAACAUUGGAGAACACAGAGAUAAAGUGUCAUUAACAGUGAGCAGCCAGGUCUACGUGAGCAACAAAGAGACAAGGAACACCAAUGUAUUAUCAAUAGUACAACAAAGAAGCGGAUAGCUGCAACUUAGCAAAGACAGAUUUCACCAUAACAUGGACAUCACAGGGAGCGAGGGCAAAUUUCACCAAACCAACAUAGACGUGGCGGCAAACUUCAAAACCCAACACAAUUGUGAAGAUAAAAAUACGAAUCAGAACCAAACGGGUCUCAAGAGCUAGAGAUACUAGGAAUGAAACAAAACAUCACAAAUAGGCACAAUAGUAAAGCCUUAAGCAGUAAUGACCACAAAACAUAUAUGAGUUGCUGGAACCAUAGCCAUGGACGACGGAGAGCGCCAGAACAGUUGAGAGGUCGCCGAAAACCCAUAGGUCCAUCAAUGGGAAGUACUAAAUUAGUCGGAGAUGAGCCAACAAACACAAAAAUUGAUAAAACAACAAAACACACGAAGGACUAGCCGACGAUGAACUUCGGUGUAGUUGAAAGGAUAACAACAACAAAGAAGUCCGUCGGAAAAGUUGAAACUCCAGCCAAAUUUCUUGAAACCACAAAAUGAAGUUUCUUAUCAUAUAUAACAGAGGGGAAAGAAAGUCACUGGAAAACUAUAAAAGGGUCAGAUCUGAUUCGUCCAGCUAGUUUCAAACCUGCAAAAUCAACAAACCAUUAGAACAAGUAGAGAAGGGGAAGUGAAGGGAAGGAGGAGGAGCAGUAGCAGUGGCGCCUGCCAUCAAAGUCAUCAGCCAAAUUGGUUGUAAAAUCCAGUGGUGGUGUCGCACAAUAGGGGAGAAGGGAGAUGGCAGCAGUGGUGGCCAUUGGAGCGGCCGUAGUCGCCUGUUUUCGGGCUGGGUUCGCCGGCGAGGGGAAGGUGCAGAAACGAGAGAGAGAGAGAGGCGAGUUUGAGGGGGUGGCGGCUGCCAUCUCUCACUUGAGAGAAGAGAAAAAUGAGGGAACUAAUUAGGG
rnacentral:lncRNA from 1 species